rnacentral:rRNA from 1 species
UAGCCGUAAACGAUACUCGCUAGGUGUCGGCCACGGUGCGACUGUUGUCGGUGCCGUAGGGAAGCCGUGAAGCGAGCCACCUGGGAAGUACGGCCGCAAGGCUGAAACUUAAAGGAAUUGGCGGGGGAGCACAACAACGGGUGGAGCUUGCGGUUAAUUGGAUUCAACGCCGGAAAUACUUACCGGGACCGACAGCAACAUGAAGGCCAAGCUGAAGACUUUGCCGGAUUAGCUGAGAGGAGGUGCAUGGCGUAGACGUCU